CAGCCCUGGGGCCCGGCUGAACCGAGGACGGCAGCUGGACUCUCCCGGCCCCGGGGCUGCCGCCGGGCGAGCCCUUUCAACAGAAUUCUGCUUUGACUUGGACUCUGCACUGGAUCUCCUCUACGACAGUGAUGUGAAGACUGGUUUCCAAGUGCAGCAUGCUUUCUCCUGAAUCUUACUGCCUCUCUUAGUUCACAGACCAAAAGGAAAUGCAUUGUGUUGGUUUUUUUUUCUUUUAAAUUUUUAAAAUCCCAAGUGCCUUGCAUAUAGCACACACGCUUAAUAUAUGCUCGUUGACUGGACUGACACAAAUGAGAGUAAUUAUUAUUACUUUUACAUAGGCCAAUCAUUUCUGGAAUUAGUUGUAUGGAGGAUCUCAUCACCUCAAACCUGGAUUAUUACAGUAGCUGUCUGGUUGGUCUCCCUGCUUCAACACUCUCCC